rnacentral:tRNA from 1 species
GGAAGGUGACGUGGCCGUGGUGGCCACACCGGCUUCGAAUACCGGGGGCGUCAUCGACGCAGAGGUUCGACUCCUCCGCCUUCCGCCA